UCGAUUCUGGUGAUUUAGUUGAACAGGAACCGGAGGAGGGCGAGGAGGAGAAAUAGAUGGCAAUCGCUGCUGUGAGAGAAAAAAAGAAUUUGGAUUGUGGAACAAUUGGAGAUUGGAAUCGUUGAAUUGUGCUAUUGUUUGUCUUUGAUUCAGAAAUGAACAAAGACGAAAGCGAUCGGAACGAAAAGAAAGCGCACGAUAUCAAGCUUUGGGGAGUUUUCCUCUUCGGAUUACUCGGCGCCGCCGUCACUGCCUUCUCCCUGUCCAGGUCGCAGUCAAGAGGAGCGAGUGGCAGUUCUUUUCGAUCAUCAUUUCAAGAAGAAGCAUGGAAGAGGUACAAUAAACGACUGCAAGAGGAGUAUGAGGAGGAGGUGGAGAGGGUGGAACGUAUAAAGCGCAUGCAAAGUGUGUUUAAUCGGGAAAGGGAUAAGCGUAGAAGAAGCUACGAGAGCUGGAAGGGAAAUGGUAGUGGUGCACAUCAUCAACAUUUUCAAAGAGAUGAUUGGUAUUGGAAGGCCGAAGAAUCCUUCAGAGAGCAAUGGGCCAAUUAUCAACACACUCCAGGAGAGAGCAGAAACUAUUCACUAUCACAUCACUACUCAGUUUUGGGUCUUGACAGGUUUAGAACAACACCCUAUACAGAUGCUGAGAUUAAGACAGCAUUUAGAACCAAGGCAAUGCAGUAUCAUCCUGACCAGAACCAAGAUAAUAGAGAGGCUUCUGAGGCCAAGUUCAAAGAAGUAAUUUGCUCAUAUGAAGCCAUACAAAAGGAAAGGAAGAACCAAAAUCUGUAAUUGCCCAACUCUGUACAACAACCCAGAUGAGGUUAUAAUUGUGCACCACAGAAGUUUGAAUGAUGUAAUAGAAAUAAAGCAGGACCAAGUAAUUACAUGUCAGCAACAUGCAACGUGAUGAACAGAAACCGGAGAAGGAGGAGGAUGAAAAGAUGGCAAUAGCUGCUGAGAGAGAAGAACGGUGAUUGGUGAUUGGAAUUGUUGAAUAGAUAUUGUUGAGUUUGAUUCAGAGAUGAACAAAGACGAAAACGAAAGCAAUUGGAACCAAAAGAAAGCCGAAGAUAUCAAGCUAAUAGGAGUGUUCCUCUUCGGAUUACUCGGCGCCGCCGGAGCCACCGCCACUGCCUUCUCCGUUUGAUCGAGACUAAUGAUUCACAGUUAUUUUCGAUCAUUUGAAAAAGAAGCGCAGAGGAACUAUAAACGACUUCCAAAAGAGUACGAGGAGGAUGUGAAGAGGGUGAUGGGAGAUGUAGAAGAGUCGAAGAGGUACUUCAAACGAACGCGAAAGGAGUACAUGGGAGAUGUAGAAGAGUCAAACAGCUACUUUAACCGAAUGCGAAAGGAAUACAUGGAGGAUGUGAAGAGGGCAUUCAGAACCAAGAUGAUGCAGUAGCAUCCGAUCAGAACAGCAUAAUAGAGGUAUGCUUUUACUAGUCAUUAACAACAGGAUCUUGUUAAUUCCAACCAUGGCAUUAUUGA